GAUGAAGAACGCAGCGAAAUGCGAUACGUAAUGUGAAUUGCAGAAUUCAGUGAAUCAUCGAAUCUUUGAACGCACAUUGCGCCCGCUGGUAUUCCGGCGGGCAUGCCUGUUCGAGCGUCAUUUCAACCCUCAAGCCCCCGGGUUUGGUGUUGGGGAUCGGCUCUGCCCUUCUGGGCGGUGCCGCCCCCGAAAUACAUUGGCGGUCUCGCUGCAGCCUCCAUUGCGUAGUAGCUAACACCUCGCAACUGGAACGCGGCGCGGCCAUGCCGUAAAACCCCAACUUCUGAAUGUUGACCUCGGAUCAGGUAGGAAUACCCGCUGAACUUAAGCAUAUCAAUAAGCGGAGGA
rnacentral:misc_RNA from 1 species